UACGGAGGGGGCUAGCGUUGUUCGGAAUUACUGGGCGUAAAGCGCGCGUAGGCGGCUUUGCAAGUUAGAGGUGAAAGCCCGGAGCUCAACUCCGGAACUGCCUUUAAGACUGCAUCGCUAGAAUUGUGGAGAGGUGAGUGGAAUUCCGAGUGUAGAGGUGAAAUUCGUAGAUAUUCGGAAGAACACCAGUGGCGAAGGCGACUCACUGGACACAUAUUGACGCUGAGGUGCGAAAGCGUGGGGAUCAAACAGG
rnacentral:rRNA from 1 species